rnacentral:rRNA from 1 species
UGGCGGCGGCCUACACAUGCAAGUCGAACGGUAACAGGAAGAAGCUUGCUUCCUUGCUGACGAGUGGCGGACGGGUGAGUAAUGUCUGGGAAACUGCCUGAUGGAGGGGGAUAACUACUGGAAACGGUAGCUAAUACCGCAUAACGUCGCAAGACCAAAGAGGGGGACCUUCGGGCCUCUUGCCAUACGGAUGUGCCCAGAUGGGAUUAGCUAGUAGGUGGGGUAACGGCUCACCUAGGCGACGAUCCCUAGCUGGUCUGAGAGGAUGACCAGCCACACUGGAACUGAGACACGGUCCAGACUCCUACGGGAGGCAGCAGUGGGGAAUAUUGCACAAUGGGCGCAAGCCUGAUGCAGCCAUGCCGCGUGUAUGAAGAAGGCCUUCGGGUUGUAAAGUACUUUCAGCGGGGAGGAAGGGAGUAAAGUUAAUACCUUUGCUCAUUGACGUUACCCGCAGAAGAAGCACCGGCUAACUCCGUGCCAGCAGCCGCGGUAAU